rnacentral:rRNA from 1 species
GACGAACGCUGGCGGCGUGCUUAACACAUGCAAGUCGAACGGAAAGGCCCUGCUUUUGUGGGGUGCUCGAGUGGCGAACGGGUGAGUAACACGUGAGUAACCUGCCCUUGACUUUGGGAUAACUUCAGGAAACUGGGGCUAAUACCGGAUAGGAGCUCCUGCUGCAUGGUGGGGGUUGGAAAGUUUCGGCGGUUGGGGAUGGACUCGCGGCUUAUCAGCUUGUUGGUGGGGUAGUGGCUUACCAAGGCUUUGACGGGUAGCCGGCCUGAGAGGGUGACCUGCCACAUUGGGACUGAGAUACGGCCCAGACUCCUACGGGAGGCAGCAGUGGGGAAUAUUGCACAAUGGGCGGAAGCCUGAUGCAGCAACGCCGCGUGCGGGAUGACGGCCUUCGGGGUGUAAACCGCUUUCGCCUGUGACGAAGCGUGAGUGACGGUAAUGGGUAAAGAAGCACCGGCUAACUACGUG